rnacentral:lncRNA from 1 species
UGUGUGUUACAUUUUAAUGUUGUGUUUCUGUUGUGUCGUAGUUCUCCUCUUAUAUUUGAUGCGUUUACCUCAGAUUUAGGUUGUAACCCGGAUUUGUUUUUUUUUUCUCAACCCAUUUACGAAUUUCGAACAGCGGUAUAUUACUGUUGCCUUUAUUUGUUACUAUAUAUACGUAAUAUCCCCCGUACUGAACCCUUCCGAAGCACAUGCAUUUAUUACUGCUUUUAUUUGUUUUGGGGUCAGUAUUGCUCAAACUUAAUUCUAAUGUUCAGUAUUAACCUGGUAAUUUUUUUUUGAUUGUUUCUCUCUUUUGGCAUAGUGUGUUGAAUAGCAUUUAUUAGAUAGGUUAUAUCCCUCUUAUUUUAAGCAUACCAGACAUUAAAAGCAGGUAUGAUAGUUUGAGGGUUAAUAAAAAAAAAUGUUAAUUUCAUAAAUUAUUUCCCUCUGAAUAACCGUAUAAUAUGUUGUUGAUAUGAUGAAUGAUGUCAUAAAUUGCUGAUAUCAUUUUAUAUAAAUAUUUACAUUCUUGUAACCUGUCAGCACGAGCAAUCUGUAACAUCUUGCAAUAAAACACGUGUAUUAAAUCGGACUUCAGAUAUAGACAUUUAUAUGCAUGGAAAGUGUUUAUAUGAAUGAUUCUGUGGUUAAGGCAUUUGGCAAGAUACAGUAUCUU